AAUAUUGCACAAUGGGCGAAAGCCUGAUGCAGCGACACCGCGUGCGGGAUGAAGGCCUUCGGGUUGUAAACCGCUUUCAGGAGGGAAGAAAAUGACGGUACCUCCAGAAGAAGGCCCGGCCAACUACGUGCCAGCAGCCGCGGUAAUACGUAGGGGCCAAACGUUGUCCGGAUUUAUUGGGCGUAAAGGGCUCGUAGGCGGUUCAACAAGUCGGUCGUGAAAGCCCGGGGCUCAACUCCGGGACGCCGGUCGAUACUGUUGUGACUAGAGUUCGGUAGAGGUGAGUGGAAUUCUCAGUGUAGCGGUGGAAUGCGCAGAUAUUGAGAGGAACACCAUUAGCGAAGGCGGCUCACUGGGCCGAUACUGACGCUGAGGAGCGAAAGCGUGGGGAGCAAACAGGAUUAGAUACCCUGGUAGUCCACGCUGUA
rnacentral:rRNA from 1 species